GACAGAGGGUGCAAACGUUGCUCGGAAUUACUGGGCGUAAAGCGCGUGUAGGUGGAUUGGUGUGUCAGAUGUGAAAUCCCUGGGCUCAACCCAGGAACUGCACCUGAAACUACCAGUCUUGAGUGGUGGAGAGGGAAGUGGAAUUCCUGGUGUAGAGGUGAAAUUCGCAGAUAUCAGGAGGAACACCGGUGGCGAAGGCGGCUACCUGGACAGAAACUGACGCUGAGGCGCGAAAGCUAGGGGAGCAAACAGG
rnacentral:rRNA from 1 species